rnacentral:rRNA from 1 species
UAGGGAAUCUUCCACAAUGGACGAAAGUCUGAUGGAGCAACGCCGCGUGAGUGAAGAAGGGUUUCGGCUCGUAAAACUCUGUUGUUAAAGAAGAACAUAUCUGAGAGUAACUGUUCAGGUAUUGACGGUAUUUAACCAGAAAGCCACGGCUAACUCGUGCCAG